UACAGAGGGUGCGAGCGUUGUUCGGAAUUACUGGGCGUAAAGCGCGCGCAGGCGGCUCUUUAAGUCUACCCGUGAAAUGCCGGAGCUCAACUCCGUGCACGCCGGGGGAUACUGGAGAGCUGGAGACGAGUAGAGGCAAGCGGAAUUCCGGGUGUAGCGGUGGAAUGCGUAGAUAUCCGGAGGAACACCGAUGGCGAAGGCAACCGCCUGGGCCUGUACUGACGCUGAGACACGAAAGCGUGGGGAGCAAACAGG
rnacentral:rRNA from 1 species